CGGAUCUAAAACCACCGAGAGGAACUUGUAAAAAUAUUCACUUCGAUCCCGAAGAAGCGCCUAACGAUUGGCGUUGAGAUGCCCGAGACAAUCUCGUUUCCACUCAAUUUUUAGACACUCGUCGAGGAGCCAUGACUCCUGCUAUUCCUCGAAGAUCUGAUCCUUUCUGGACUUCCGCCCCUGCUCAGGGUGCUUUCGGAAGCUGUCCGUGUCACAGGAACAGACGGCAACGGCUACAGGUGCCGGCGGAGCGGGAAUUCUGCGUGCCAAGGAACAAUAGCAUUUGUCCGCGGAGACGCAGGUACAGGAUUCAGAAUCGUAGCUGCACUCGCUGCAGCUGACAUACCCGCUGCUACUCCUAUUGGCACCUGCCCCUACGUUGCGACCGAGUCGUCUACCUACAAAGGAUGGUCUCCUCCUGCCGAGCCUGCUGGCCAGGACACGAUUGUUUCCAUGGCCGUUCCUCGCACCACAGGAUGAGCUGCUGUCGAUGCUGUCAUUGAGCCUCCUGGCAGGGAAUAUGACGGAAGUAAAUUCAGUCG